AAAUUCUAAAUACCAGUUUUUUGUGGAUGCUUUGGUUCAAAAGAAGAAGGACGUUGUACAAAACGAAACGUUAUACCUAGAGUGCACUCGGUGAGGUAUAAAUUUCCUCCGUGGGAAACCACUGGCUUUUAUUUAACUGGGUGAAUUGAAACAUCUAAGUAACCCAAGGAAAAGAAAUCAACCGAGAUUCCGUAAGUAUCGGCGAGAGAACAUGGAAAAGACCAAACACCUUGGAAAGUCACCGCCGAAAGAUGUGGAAAAAUCUACCAAAGAGGGUGAAAGUCCCGUAGACGUGGCUUCUAAGGUGUGUUCAAAAGAGUAAAACGAAAGUAUUUGUUUGAAUACAGGAGGCCCACCUUCUAGGUCUAAAUAUGCUUUUGAAACCAAUAGUGAACAAGUACCGUGAGGGAAAAGUGAAAAGAACCUUAACUAAGGAGUGAAAGAGAACCUGAAACAAAAAAUAACCAUGCAAUCGAUUUUCUCUGUACGGGAGGUCGGUGUACCUUUUGCAUAAUGGGUCAGCGAGUAAAUAAAAAAAGCGAGGCUUAAACGACGAAGUGGAGGCAAAGCAAAAGCGAGUAUGAAGAGUGCGUGUGUUUUUUUUAUUUGACCCGAAACUAAGUGAUCUAGCUUUGAACAGGCUGAAGAAAGGGUAAAAGCUUUUGGAGGGCCGAACUGACGUCUGUUGCAAUAGACGCAGAUGAGUUGAGGCUAGGGGUGAAAGGCCAAUCAAACUUAGAGAUAGCUGGUUCUCCGCGAAAUUUAUUGAGGUAAAGCGUUCAACGAUGUAGAAAGGGGGUAGAGCACUCAUUAGGUAAAGGGGAUCCAAAGUCUUACUGAACUUAUUGAAACUCCGAAGACCUUUCUUUGAUAUCUUGAGCAGACAGACUUAAAGUGCUAAGGUUUUAAGUCAAAAGGGAAACAGCCCAGACUGUUCGCUAAGGUCCUUAAACAUUUUGGAAGUGGUAAAAGGCGUUUUAAAACAAAGACAGCUAGGAGAUUGGCUUGGAAGCAGCCAUUCUAUAAUGAAAGCGUAAUAGCUCACUAGUCGAGUUUUAAAGCACUGAUAAUGUAUCGGGGCUUCACAAAAUUACCCAAGCGACAGAGAACAAUGGUAGCGGAGCGUUUUGUAGACCGUAGAAGAAGUUUUGUGAAAAACUUUGGAGGAUUCAAAAGUGAGAAUGCUGACAUGAGUAACGAAAAAUCAUGUGACAAUCAUGAUCGCCGUAAGUUCAAGGGUUUCUGCGUUCUGUUUUUCAGCGCAGAGUGAUCCGGUCUCUAAGUGUGUUUUUGAUAAAAAACCACGAUGAAAAAAAUGAAAGAUGACGAAAUGUUUUUUAGAAACCAACAGUUUAUUGGAUAGCUUUUUCGUUUCUAAUGUUUCCAGGAAAAAUCUUCAUAAAAUUGACCGUACCCUAAACCGACACCGGUGAACGAGUCGAGUAGACUCAGGCGUUGAGAGAACCAUAUUGAAGGAACUCGGCAAAUUUUUCCUGUACCUUUGGAAGAAAGGAAGCCAAUUUUGGUGACACAAAAAUGGGGGUGACGACUUUUUACUAAAAAAUUAGGACUCUGCAAAAUGGGAACAUGAAGUAUAGGGUCUGACGCCUGCCCGGUGCUUGAAGCUUAACCUGUAUGCUUUUUUGGUAUAUUGAGAAGGCCUAGUAAACGGCGGUUGUAACUAUAACAAUCAUAAAGUAGCGAAAUUCAUUGUCAGCUAAUUCCUGACCUGCAUGAAAGGCGUAACGAUUGCCCCACUGUCUCCAGUGUGGACUCAGUGAAAUUGAAUUCUCCGUGCAGAUGCGGAG
rnacentral:rRNA from 1 species